AACGGGUGAGUAACGCGUAGGUAACCUGCCUUGUAGCGGGGGAUAACUAUUGGAAACGAUAGCUAAUACCGCAUAACAAUGGAUGACACAUGUCAUUUAUUUGAAAGGGGCAAUUGCUCCACUACAAGAUGGACCUGCGUUGUAUUAGCUAGUAGGUGAGGUAACGGCUCACCUAGGCGACGAUACAUAGCCGACCUGAGAGGGUGAUCGGCCACACUGGGACUGAGACACGGCCCAGACUCCUACGGGAGGCAGCAGUAGAGAAUCUUCGGCAAUGGGGGCAACCCUGACCGAGCAACGCCGCGUGAGUGAAGAAGGUUUUCGGAUCGUAAAGCUCUGUUGUAAGUCAAGAACGAGUGUGAGAGUGGAAAGUUCACACUGUGACGGUAGCCGUCCCUUUCUGGUAAGCUACCGGUCGACGCGGCCG
rnacentral:rRNA from 1 species